AUGUGGGUUUCUUCUAGUGUGUGUCCACAUGGCGGACUGUUAUCGCAUACGAUGUUCUCUAUGGAUUUAGCAGAUCCGAGGAGUGAGACAGCUAAAGAAUUUAAGGACAUUGUGUUGGGUUUGAUGGAGGAGGCCGGGAAGCCGAAUUUGGGGGACUACUUUCCUGGGCUUUCAUUUGGUUUUAAAUAUGAUCUGUUUAGUGCAGCCACAUAUGCAACUUCAGGCACAUUGGAAUGGGCAAUGGCUGAGCUACUCCGCAAUCCGGAAAAACUAUCACAAGCACAAGCAGAGCUGAAGCAAAUCAUCGGCAAAGGAAAGCCAGUUGAGGAAUCACACAUUGCUUGACUCCCUUACUUACAAGCCGUAAUCAAAGAAACCUUCAGAUUGCACCCAGUCGUUCCAUUUCUACUUCCUCGAAAAGCUGAAAUAGAUGUUGAAAUCUGCAGGUACAUUGUACCAAAGGAUGCACAAGUAUUGGUCAAUGCAUGGGCCAUAGGGAGAGACCCCAACAUUUGGGACGAUCCAAACUCGUUUAUGCUGGAGAGGUUUUUGGAUUCGGAAAUUGAUGUUUUAGGGAAAAACUUUGAGCUUCUUCCGUUUGGUGGUGGGAGGAGAAUAUGUCCUGGAUUGCCAUUGGCAAUGAGAAUGUUGAAUUUGAUGUUGGGCUCGCUUAUUAAAUCGUUUGACGAUUGGACGCUUGAAAAUGGAAUUGUACCAGAGACCUUGAAUAUGGAAGAGAAGUUUGGCAUCACCUUAGAGAAAGCUCACCCUCUCAUAGCUGGGCCCAUGCUAUAUAAAAACCUAGCAUGAUUUUUACGUAGUUACAGUUUCUAC